rnacentral:rRNA from 1 species
AGAGCGAACGCUGGCGGCAUGCUUAACACAUGCAAGUCUCACGGGCAGCAAUGUCAGUGGCGGACGGGUGAGUAACGCGUAGGUAUCUAUCCAUGGGUGGGGGAUAACGUCGGGAAACUGACGCUAAUACCGCAUGACAUCUGAGGAUCAAAGGCGCGAGUCGCCUGUGGAGGAGCCUGCGUACGAUUAGCUAGUUGGUGGGGUAAAGGCCUACCAAGGCGACGAUCGUUAGCUGGUCUGAGAGGAUGAUCAGCCACACUGGGACUGAGACACGGCCCAGACUCCUACGGGAGGCAGCAGUGGGGAAUAUUGGACAAUGGGCGAAAGCCUGAUCCAGCAAUGCCGCGUGUGUGAAGAAGGUCUUCGGAUUGUAAAGCACGUUUCGGCGGGGACGAUGAUGACGGUACCCGCAGAAGAAGCCCGGCUAACUUCGUGCCAGCAGCCGCGGUAA